UACGUAGGGGGCAAGCGUUGUCCGGAAUCAUUGGGCGUAAAGAGCGUGUAGGCGGCUCGGUAAGUCCGCUCUGAAAGCCCGGGGCUCAACCCUGGAAUGCCGGUGGAAACUGUCGGGCUAGAGUGCGGAAGAGGCGAGUGGAAUUCCUGGUGUAGCGGUGAAAUGCGCAGAUAUCAGGAGGAACACCAAUUGCGAAGGCAGCUCGCUGGGACGUAACUGACGCUGAGACGCGAAAGCGUGGGGAGCAAACAGG
rnacentral:rRNA from 1 species